ensembl:lncRNA
GGGGUGGGGGCUGGACCCCUGGCUUUGACGACCCUCCUCAACCUGGUCCCGUCUUUGCCAGGCCUGCCAUUCCCAGGGCUUCCCCAGCCCCUCCGCCUGCAAAGCCAGUCCUGCUCACUCCCUGCUGUCCUUAGGAUGAUGGCAACUCACGUGAGAUGCGUGUUGUCUGAAUAAAAUGUAAUUCAAAGCGAAUACAAAGAGAAUAGAGUCCAUGUGUGUGGUCUAGCUAGUUCUCACAAAGCCACCCCUGCCAAAGCGAACUAAAAUCAGAGCAAAUGUAUUCUUUUUUAUUUUUUUAUUUUUUAAAAUUUUUUGUCUUUCUCUCUUCUUAGGGCUGCCCCUGCAGCAUAUGGAGGUUCCCAGACUAGGGGUCCAAUUGGAGCUGGAGCCGCCAGGCUAUACUGGGGCCAUAGCAAUGCAGGAUCUGAGCCGCAUCUGUGACUUAUACCACAGCAACACCGGAUCCUUAACCCACUAAGCGAGGCCAGGGAUCGAACCUGCAUCCUCAUGGAUGCCAGUCAGAUUUGUUAACCGCUGAGUCAUGAUGGGAACCCCCCCUUUUUAAAAAUUACUUUGAAGUGUGUUCUUUUAAAGACUCUUUGGAGUUCCCUGGUGGCUCGUCAGGUUAAGGAUCUGGCGUUGUCACUGCUGUGGCGCAGGUUCCAUCCUUGGCAUGCCUGGGAACCUCCACAUGCCAUGGGCACAGCCAAAAAAUAAAAAAAGGUCUUGGCAUUUCUAUUGUGGCUCAAUGGGUUAAGAACCAAGGUAGGAGUUCCUGUUGUGGCUCAGUGGUAAUGAACCCAAAUGGUAUCCAUGAGGACGUGGGUUCCAUCCCUGGCCUUGCUCAGUGGGUUAAGGAUCCGGCAUUGCUGUGAGCUGUGGUGUAGGCCACAGAUGUGACUUGGAUCUGGUGUUGCUGUGGCUGUGAUGUAGGCCGGCAGCUGCAGCUCUGAUUCGACCCCUAGCCUGGGAACUUCCAUAUGCUGCAGGUGCGGCCAUAAAAAGAAAAAAAGGUUCCUUUGAGGGUGAUGCCUGAUGUGGCCUGCUGUCUGGGGUACAGAUGCCUAGUCCACCCCCAGAGGAAAGAAGAGAAAAGAAGAAAACAAGCCUCUUGGUCCCGCUUCGGCCCUGCUCUGUACUGUCCUCACGGGGUUACUUAGGCGAGUCCUGCCCUCCUUUCCUGCUAGACGGUGUGUCUCUAGGGAGGAUUCAGGCCUUUUCAUGCCAUCACUGUGCACGGUCCACCGGCCCCUUCCGGAUCCAUCCCAUCCGGGGAGCCUCUCACUCAGCCAGGGAGGUGAGUGGCGUUACCAGGACGCCGUCAUUUGGGAGAGGUGGCUUCAACGCCCCUCCUCGGGGGAGAGGCAGCAGUCGUUUCAGGUACCCGAAGCGGGCUUCGAAUCCUGGCUCUGUGGUCUUACGCAGGGUGCUUCACUUUCCCAAGCCUGGGUUUUCUCAUCUAUGGAAACAUGACAUUGACCUCGUCAAAGUCGGAUGAGGCUGGAGAGAGUCGUUGUGCGUCUAAGCCUCUCAGCACACGGCGCCUAUCGGAGGGCAAAACGCUCGGGGAUGCAGGGUCCUCUUGCCCUGAGCUGGGUCUGGCUCCCCCGUGAUCUUCUUCCUUAUUUAUUGAGCAGUUACUGUGCGCUAAGCCUGGUGCUACGCGCUCUGACCCUGGAAAGCUGCACAGAACGGUUGAGUGUGUUUCCUUCCUGGUUUAGGGGAGGAGGAAACGGAGCCCCAGGGAGUUUAGGUUCUUGACCGAGGUCACCCCACGGUGAAGUGACUCAGCCAGUAUUUAAAGCCACGUCUCGCUAACGUUUAUGAUGUGCUUCUCGCCAUCACGCGAAGGAGCCUUUCCUUAGGGCCUGAGCUCAGCUCUGGGUUCAAAAGGAGGCCUGAGCGACCUUCCGGCCCUGCGCACGUUACCUGAGUUAACGGUGCCAGUCGGGUUGGCUCGCGAGCCAUCCAGGUGCGUGGAGGAAGCGGGAGUUACCGCUACAAAAGAAUCAGUGGUUAAGCCGCCAGUGCCUUCGUGCUCCGAGGUCUGUGUCAUUUCAGCCCUCGGCGAGGAAGCAGACGCCCACCGUACGCACAUCUGGGUCUACCCGCCUCCCGUGAAGCAAGCCCUCUGUUCCUGGUCUGAUUUCUGCAGCCUCAGUCAGACCCAGGCCACCUGCUCGGGAAUCUAGAAGACAGAGGAUGGAUAAACAACAAGCAGCUACUGUCCAGCACGGGGAAUCAUAGCCAACAUCCUGUAAUAAUAAGCCUUAAUGGAAAAGAAUAAACAAAGGAAAGCAUGUAUAUACUGAAUCACUUUGCUGCACAGCCGAAAUUAACACAGAAUUGUCAAACAACCACACUUAAACAUUUUUUUUCUUUUUUUUUUUGCGGGGGGGCACUGCCUCGAGACAUAUGGAGUUCUUGGGCCAAGGAUCCGAUCUCUGCUGCAGUUGUGACCUAAGCCACAGCUGUGGCAAUGCUAGAUCCUUUAACCCAUGGAACCAGGUCAGGGAUCGAACCUGUGUUCCGGCACUGCAGAGACACCUCUGAACCCAUUGUGCCACAGCAGGAGCUCCUCAAUCAACUAGAUUUUAAUAAUUAAAAAAAAAAGAUGCUCGGAGUUCCCUUGCAGCUUAGCAGGUUAAAGAUCCAAGUUGUCACUGCAGCAGCUCCAGUCACUGCAGUGGCACAUUUUUUUUUUUUUUUGUCUUUUUAGGGGCCACACCUGGGGCAUAUGAAGUUCCCAGGCUAGGGGUCCAAUCGGAGCUGCAGCUGCUGGUUUACACCGCAGCCACAGCAACUUGGGAUCUGAGCUGUGUCUGCGAUCUACACCCCAGCUCAUGGCAACACAGGAUCCUUAACCCCCUGAGCAAGUCCAGGGAUCGACCCAUCCUCAUGGAUACUAGUCAGGUUCAUUCCUGCUGAGCCACGACAGAAUUCCUGUGGUGCAGUUUUGAUCCCUGGCCUGGAGACUUUUGUGUGCUGCAGGUGCAGCCAAAAAAAAA